rnacentral:rRNA from 1 species
AUGUCACUCAAGGAUAAGGAAGAGCUCCACAACAAGUCAAGUGGUGCCUACAAAGCCUCAUGUGAUGCCCCCACAUCAUCAAAUGAGAAGCAAACCUUCAAUGAAGAAUUGAGCCCAAUGGUGAAGAAUUUCAACAAGUUCUACAAGAGUAGAAGCAAGGAAAGAAGUUCCAAGUCAAGGUCCUACAAUGACAAAAGAUCUUCUAGUCGUGAGCAUAACUGCUACAAUUGUGGAAGACCCGGACACUAUUCAAAUGAGUGCACGGCUCCUUACAAAAGAAGAGAAGAUUCUCUCAAAAGAAGAAGUAGGAUAGAAGAAUCAUCGGCAAGAGAGAGAAGGAGUAGAGAUGAUCGUUAUGAACGAAGACCCUCUCGGAGGAGCAAGGAUUCGGAUAGGAAGGACAGAUCAUCAAAUAGCUACACAAAAAGAAGACAUCAAGCUCAUGUUGGUGAAUGGGUAUCCGGCUCCGACUCCGACAAUCACUCCGGAAGAAGAUAUCACUCUGACUCUGAAUAUAUUCAAGAUGAAGGUGUUGCAGGUCUAGCACUUGUGUCAACCGACUCUUACGACAUGUUUGACUCACCAAAUGAAGGAAUUGGAAGAUGCUUCAUGGCUAAAGGUCCAAAGGUAACACGCCCCGAGUAUGUUGAUUUCAAUAGUGAUGAAGAUGAUUUGCUAGGAGAUGAUGAUUUACUUGUUGACAACUCUAGUUAUGAGAACUAUGAUGAACUUGCUAUUAAUCAAGAUAAAACGAAUGACGAUGAUAAGAAUAAGAUUGAGCGUCUAACUAAAGAACUAAACACUCUUAAGUUAGCUAAUGAAACUACAUUGGAAGAUCAUUGA